rnacentral:rRNA from 1 species
UACGGGGGGAGCAAGCGUUGUUCGGAAUUACUGGGCGUAAAGUGUGCGCAGGCGGCGUUGCAAGUCGAGUGUGAAAUCCCCGAGCUUAACUUGGGAAUUGCGCUCGAAACUACGAUGCUCGAGUAUGGCAGAGGAAGGUGGAAUUCCACGUGUAGCGGUGAAAUGCGUAGAGAUGUGGAGGAACACCGAUGGCGAAGGCAGCCUUCUGGGCCAAUACUGACGCUCAUGCACGAAAGCGUGGGGAGCAAACAGG